rnacentral:tRNA from 5 species
GUUCUUGUAGUUAAAGUCCUAUAACGACGGCUUUUCAGGCCGUAGAUCUCGGAGAAAGGCCGAGUGGGAACU